CGGCGGACGGGUGAGUAAUGCCUAGGGAAUCUGACCUGGUAGUGGGGGACAACGUUUCGAAAGGAACGCUAAUACCGGAUACGUCCUACGGGAGAAAGUGGGGGAUCUUCGGACCUCACGCUAUCAGAUGAGCCUAGGUCGGAUUAGCUAGUUGGUGAGGUAAAGGCUCACCAAGGCGACGAUCCGUAACUGGUCUGAGAGGAUGAUCAGUCACACUGGAACUGAGACACGGUCCAGACUCCUACGGGAGGCAGCAGUGGGGAAUAUUGGACAAUGGGCGAAAGCCUGAUCCAGCCAUGCCGCGUGUGUGAAGAAGGUCUUCGGAUUGUAAAGCACUUUAAGUUGGGAGGAAGGGCAGUAAGUUAAAUACCUUGCUGUUUUGACGUUACCAACAGAAUAAGCACCGGCUAACUUCGCGCCAGCAGCCGCGGUAAUACGAAGGGUGCAAGCGUUAAUCGGAAUUACUGGGCGUAAAGCGCGCGUAGGUGGUUCGUUAAGUUGGAUGUGAAAGCCCCGGGCUCAACCUGGGAACUGCAUCCAAAACUGGCGAGCUAGAGUAUGGCAGAGGGUGGUGGAAUUUCCUGUGUAGCGGUGAAAUGCGUAGAUAUAGGAAGGUACACCAGUGGCGAAGGCGACCACCUGGGCUAAUACUGACACUGAGGUGCGAAAGCGUGGGGAGCAAACAGGAUUAGAUACCCUGGUAGUCCACGCCGUAAACGAUGUCGACUAGCCGUUGGGAUCCUUGAGAUCUUAGUGGCGCAGCUAACGCAUUAAGUCGACCGCCUGGGGAGUACGGCCGCAAGGUUAAAACUCAAAUGAAUGACGGGGGCCCGCACAAGCGGUGGAGUAUGUGGUUUAAUUCGAAGCAACGCGAAGAACCUUACCA
rnacentral:rRNA from 1 species